GACGAACGCUGGUGGCGUGCUUAACACAUGCAAGUCGAACGGUGAAGCCCGGCUUGCUGGGUGGAUCAGUGGCGAACGGGUGAGUAACACGUGAGCAACCUGCCCCCUACUUCGGGAUAAGCCUUGGAAACGAGGUCUAAUACCGGAUAUGAGCACCUACCGCAUGGUGGGUGUUGGAAAGUUUUUCGGUGGGGGAUGGG
rnacentral:rRNA from 1 species